GCAGAUGUAGCUUAUGUAAAGCACAUCAACAAAUGAGAUAUGAGUUCAAAUCUCAUCAUCUGCA
rnacentral:tRNA from 1 species